AAGGACCUGAGAGUGGCCUCUAAGAGCUAAGAACAGUCCCCAGCUGAGAGUGGAGCUCAAUCCUACAGCCACAAUGAACUGAAUCCUACCAACAACUUGAAUGAACUUAGGAGAAGAUUCUUCCCAGAGCUUGUAGAAAUAUACAACAGAAGCAAGCACCAUCAUCUCUGUUCAUAGAAAAAGUAAUGCUUAUGGAAUGAGUAUGAAUUUUGGAGGUGAUAGAAAUUCUAUAAGGACAAAGAAAAUUGAGGGAAGAUGUCUGAAUGAAGGACUCUUCUACUGCAUGUUGGACAGCUAAAAGCUACUUCAGGAUCUCUAAUAGAGGUGUAAGUGUUGAAAAGCUCAUUCCGUGAUGUCUAAAUAUGCACUUUCAUUACUCUCCUUUUGAUAGAUUCUUAUCCUUUAUAACCUAGAUUUUAUUUGUGCUAUGUGUAUAGUUUUUCACUCAUGUCAACCUAUCAGUGGGAGAGCUCUCUUAAACCUGUAUGGUCAAAAUACAGUUCAGAACAUAUACAUCCAAGAUACCUAGGAGACAUGACAUUUUACUCCAGAUACGUAUGAGAAUAGA